rnacentral:lncRNA from 1 species
UGGAGCAAGUAGCUAAAAUGAAGAAGAUGGAGAUGGAGAUGGAGCAGGUGUUUGAGAUGAAGGUCAAAGAAAAAGUUCAAAAACUGAAGGACUCUGAAGCUGAGCUCCAGCAGCGCCAUGAGCAAAUGAAAAAGAAUUUGGAAGCACAGCACAAAGAAUUGGAGGAAAAACGUCGUCAGUUUGAGGAUGAGAAAGCAAACUGGGAAGCUCAACAACGUAUUUUAGAACAAC